CCUACGGGGUGCACCAGUGGGGAAUAUUGCACAAUGGGCGCAAGCCUGAUGCAGCCAUGCCGCGUGUGUGAAGAAGGCCUUCGGGUUGUAAAGCACUUUCAGCGGGGAGGAAGGCGUUAAGGUUAAUAACCUUGGCGAUUGACGUUCCCCGCAGAAGAAGCACCGGCUAACUCCGUGCCAGCAGCCGCGGUAAUACGGAGGGUGCAAGCGUUAAUCGGAAUAACUGGGCGUAAAGCGCACGCAGGCGGUCUGUCAAGUCGGAUGUGAAAUCCCCGGGCUCAACCUGGGAACUGCAUUCGAAACUGGCAGGCUAGAGUCUUGUAGAGGGGGGUAGAAUUCCAGGUGUAGCGGUGAAAUGCGUAGAGAUCUGGAGGAAUACCGGUGGCGAAGGCGGCCCCCUGGACAAAGACUGACGCUCAGGUGCGAAAGCGUGGGGAGCAAACAGGAUUAGAUACCCUUGUAGUC
rnacentral:rRNA from 1 species